rnacentral:rRNA from 1 species
UACGGGGGGAGCAAGCGUUGUUCGGAUUUACUGGGCGUAAAGGGCGCGUAGGCGGCCACCGCAAGUCGGUUGUGAAAUCUCUGGGCUUAACCCAGAAAGGUCAACCGAUACUGCGGGGCUAGAGUGCAGAAGGGGCAACUGGAAUUCUCGGUGUAGCGGUGAAAUGGCGUAGAUAUCGAGAGGAACACCUGCGGCGAAGGCGGGUUGCUGGGCUGACACUGACGCUGAUGCGCGAAAGCCAGGGGAGCGAACGGGG